GGGGGGUUAGCUCAGUGGUAGAGCACUUGCCUAGCAAGCACAAGGCCCUGGGUUCGGUCCCCAGCUCCG
rnacentral:tRNA from 1 species